rnacentral:rRNA from 1 species
AUUGAACGCUGGCGGUAUGCUUAACACAUGCAAGUCGAACGGUAACAGGCCUUCGGGCGCUGACGAGUGGCGGACGGGUGAGUAACGCGUAGGAAUCUGCCUCAUAGUGGGGGACAACGUGGGGAAACGUCACGCUAAUACCGCAUACGCCCUACCGGGGGAAAGGCGGGGAGUCUUCGGACCUCGCGCUAUGAGAUGAGCCUGCGUUAGAUUAGCUAGUUGGUAGGGUAAAGGGACCUACCAAGGCGACGAUCUAUAGCUGGUCUGAGAGGACGAUCAGCCACACUGGGACUGAGACACGGCCCAGACUCCUACGGGAGGCUG